rnacentral:rRNA from 1 species
GACGAACUCUGGCGGCGUGCUUAACACAUGCAAGUCGAACGGUAAGGCUCCAGCUUGCUGGGGUACACGAGUGGCGAACGGGUGAGUAACACGUGGGUGACCUGCCCUGCACUUCGGGAUAAGCCUGGGAAACUGGGUCUAAUACCGGAUAGGACCGCACCGUGAGGGUGUGGUGGAAAGUUUUUUCGGUGUGGGGUGGGCCCGCGGCCUAUCAGCUUGUUGGUGGGGUAAUGGCCUACCAAGGCGGCGACGGGUAGCCGGCCUGAGAGGGUGGACGGCCACAUUGGGACUGAGACACGGCCCAGACUCCUACGGGAGGCAGCAGUGGGGAAUAUUGCACAAUGGGCGGAAGCCUGAUGCAGCGACGCCGCGUGGGGGAUGACGGCCUUCGGGUUGUAGACUCCUUUCACCAUCGACGAAGGGUUUCUGACGGUAGAUGGAGAAGAAGCACCGGCUAACUACGUGCCAGCAGCCGCGGUAAUACGUAGGGUGCGAGCGUUGUCCGGAAUUACUGGGCGUAAAGAGCUCGUAGGUGGUUUGUCGCGUCGUCUGUGAAAUUCCGGGGCUUAACUCCGGGCGUGCAGGCGAUACGGGCAUAACUUGAGUACUGUAGGGGAGACUGGAAUUCCUGGCGUAGCGGUGAAAUGCGCAGAUAUCAGGAGGAACACCGGUGGCGAAGGCGGGUCUCUGGGCAGUAACUGACGCUGAGGAGCGAAAGCAUGGGGAGCGAACAGGAUUAGAUACCCUGGUAGUCCAUGCCGUAAACGGUGGGCGCUAGGUGUGGGUUUCCUUCCACGGGAUCCGUGCCGUAGCUAACGCAUUAAGCGCCCCGCCUGGGGAGUACGGCCGCAAGGCUAAAACUCAAAGGAAUUGACGGGGGCCCGCACAAGCGGCGGAGCAUGUGGAUUAAUUCGAUGCAACGCGAAGAACCUUACCUGGGCUUGACAUAUACAGGAUCGCGCCAGAGAUGGUGUUUCCCUUGUGGCUUGUAUACAGGUGGUGCAUGGUUGUCGUCAGCUCGUGUCGUGAGAUGUUGGGCUAAGUCCCGCAACGAGCGCAACCCUUGUCUUAUGUUGCCAGCACGUUGUGGUGGGGACUCGUAAGAAACUGCCGGGGUUAACUCGGAGGAAGGUGGAGAUGACGUCAAAUCAUCAUGCCCCUUAUGUCCAGGGCUUCACACAUGCUACAAUGGUCGGUACAGUGGGUUGCCAGUCCGUGAGGGCGAGCUAAUCCCGCAAAGCCGGUCUCAGUUCGGAUCGGGGUCUGCAACUCGACCCCGUGAAGUCGGAGUCGCUAGUAAUCGCAGAUCAGCAACGCUGCGGUGAAUACGUUCCCGGGCCU